AAAAAAAUAUAUAUAUAUAUAUAUAUAUAUAUAUAUUUAUCAUAUAUAUUUAUGAACCUUCUUAUAUAUACAUAUCUAAAAACAAAAGUAUAUAUAUUAUAUUUUUAUAUUUUAUAUCACACCUUGGAAGAACUAUUAAAAAUGAACUAUAUUUUAUAAUGUCUUAGGUUUGUAAGCUUCUGAAGCUAAAAAAUGUAUAUUAUUUAUAUUACACGAAAAAAAUGAAAUUAAAAAUAAGAAAUCAGAAAAAGUCUUAAUUAUAUAGGUAUAAAUAAAUAUAUGUAUAUAUGUAUAUAUAUUUUUAUUGAUAUAUUUAUAAUAAUGUUGAUUAAAGUUGUUAAUUUAUAAUAUCUACAGGAAAGGAAAAACAAAAAUAAAAAUUAAUAGUAAAAAUUAUAUAAUGUGUCUGUUAUGGAAGGUUCAUUAUACAAUAAUGUUUAUUAGGACAUCAUUUUUAAAUUAGUUCUUUAUUUAAUUACUAUCAUUAAAAGCAUAGAAAGUUUAUAAUCUGGUAAAAACUAUUUAAAGCAGGAAACUGAAAAAAAAGAAAAUUUAUGUAGCAAAAAAAAAAA
rnacentral:sRNA from 1 species